rnacentral:misc_RNA from 1 species
GAUGAAGAACGUAGCGAAAUGCGAUACUUGGUGUGAAUUGCAGAAUUCAGUGAAUCAUCGAGUCUUUGAACGCACAUUGCGCCCCUCGGUAUUCCGGAGGGCAUGUCUGUUUGAGCGUCAUUUCAACACCCUCGCUUUAAGCGGUAUUGAGACUGGAAAUUUUCAUGCAAAUGGAAAUCCAGCUUUAAAGUUGAAAGCUAGCGGACGAAUGUCUUGAAUAAAACAUAGUAAAAUCUUCUGAUUUCUCCUGUUUGUUCAUUGAUUAAGUCUUGCCCGAACGAAAAAAAAAUUUUUUUUUAAAGUUUUGACCUCAGAUCAGACAAGGAUACCCGCUGAACUUAAGCAUAUCAAUAAGCGGAGGA